rnacentral:pre_miRNA from 1 species
AAUAAGUUUAUUUUUCAGUUUUUAGAUACAAUAUUUAGCUCUUCGUCUUAUUUGAAAUUUUUUCGAUUACUAUUUUUAUUGUUACUAGAUGAUAAAACAUGAAUAUACUUUAUAUGUCGCUAAUUUUUUAAAAUUUUUGUAUAAUUUUUUAAAUAAGACGAAUGGUUAAACUUUGGAUAUAGAAAUCGAAAAAUGAGAUCAUU